CACGUAGGGGACGAGCGUUGUCCGGAUUCAUUGGGCGUAAAGCGCGCGUAGGCGGCUCGGAAAGUCGGUCGUGAAAUGCCGGGGCUCAACCCCGGGACUGCGUCCGAUACUCCCGAGCUGGAGGCAGGUAGGGGAGAUCGGAAUUCCUGGUGUAGCGGUGAAAUGCGCAGAUAUCAGGAGGAACACCGGUGGCGAAGGCGGAUCUCUGGACCUUGCCUGACGCUGAGGCGCGAAAGCUAGGGGAGCGAACAGG
rnacentral:rRNA from 1 species